UGCUUUUGAAAUUAUUGGCACUUAUGCAUUUGAAAUUAGAUUUUAUAAAACAAUAAAAUAAAUUCUUUCGACAGCAGUUUGUGGGUAUCUGAGCCGGAAACCCUCACGAGACAAAACUCGUCCACUAGGGCCACCUAGGGGUUUAAAGCCUUAUUGCAUACGGUAAAUGCAAUCGCGAUUCCUGCGAAAGUGAGUUAGUUUUUAUUUUGCUCGAGGACUAGCAAAAUGUAGGUUGGGGGGUGUGAUAAGUGCUAAAUAAUGCAUAAAUUAAUAUCUUAUUCAUAGCACUUAUCAUCAUUUUAAUUCACAUAUUUUAAAUAUUUAACUAAAAAAUUGUGUUACCUUCAUCAUUGCAUUUUAAUAAAUUAAAGGUAAUUAGUGUUUUACUUAUUUAUUUACUGGUCAAAAUUAAUGUGUGCAGGUCA
rnacentral:lncRNA from 1 species